rnacentral:misc_RNA from 1 species
AAGUCGUAACAAGGUCUCCGUUGGUGAACCAGCGGAGGGAUCAUUACAGAGUUGCAAAACUCCCACAAACCAUCGCGAAUCCUACCCGUACGGUUGCCUCGGCGCUGGCGGUCCGGAAGGUCCUCGGGCCUCCCGGACCCUCGGGUCUCCCGCUCGCGGGGGGCCGCCCGCCGGAGUGCCGAAACCAAACUCUUGAUAUCUAAUGUUUCUCUGAGUAAAACUUUUAAAUAAGUCAAAACUUUCAACAACGGAUCUCUUGGUUCUG